rnacentral:lncRNA from 1 species
CAGUGAGAACCCAGUUCUCAGACCUCGAAGUCAGUGUUCUUACCACUUUACCACACUAAUUCCAGAAGGGGAUCAGAGGUACUCAGUGUUCACAGUGGGACACAGUGACAGGGUGACGGCUAGGUCUGAGGGAUGGGGCAACCCUCCUGCAGCUUCCCUAUCACACUACUAAUAAAACCCGAAGCCUUUGCCAUGGCUGCAAAGCCCCCCAGGACUGGCCCCUGCUCCCUCUGCACAUCCUCUCCCACCUCAACCUUGUCCUCUCUGUCCUGCCACCAGGCGCACUUGCUGCUCACUGCACAUGUCCCAUAAGCCCCCAACCCAGGCUUUGCUCCUGCAGUGCCCCCCACCUGGAACAUUCUUUCUCCAGCUCUCAGAGUUCACCCCCUCACUUCAUUCAUACCUCUGCUCCAAUGUCACCUCUUCAGGAAGAACAUUCUUGACUAUCUCUACAGAAGCUCUCCAUGGACACCAUCUCCCGGGGUGUUUUUUUCCUACCCAUGGCCUGCCUGUCAUCCAGCAACCAUCUCACAUAUUCACCUGUUGGAUUCCCUACAGGAUUUACAAAGCUGCACAAAGCAGGACCUGUCUACUUGGUUUACUGCUGUCUGCCUGGAGCACCUGACACAUCGCAGCAGGUCAAGAUCUCCUUGUGGGACCGGGGUUAUAGCUCAGUGGUGGAGCGUUUGCCUUGGGUAUAUGAGGUACUGGGUUCCAUCCUUAGCACCACAUAAAAAUAAACAAAAUAAAGGUAUUGUGUCCAUCUACAAUUGAAAAUAUUUUUAAAAAGAGAAAAGAUUUCCUUGUGGAUGGAACUGCACAAAUCUGAGCUCUAAUCCCUGCUCUGCCACCUCUUAGCUCUGAGCCUCAGUUUCUGCAUCUGUUAACUAGGGGUGGUUAUGAGUAUUACGUGAGAUCAGGCAAUAAAAUAGCUGUGCUGUGCCUGUCACAUGAUACAUGCUCACUGUGAAUGGUAGGUAGCAAUCAAAGGCUCUUCCUUCCCUCCAUAUUUUUCCCCCUGCAAAUGAGGGAAAGAACAGGAACCUGAGGUCGGGUUCACUGGGCAAAUUCUCCGUUGAUGUGGGAUGAAGAGAAGAGGCUGUGGCUUGGAGAAACUCUCAUGACCGUGAUCACAGAGCUGGUAAAGAAUGAGGUCAAAGAAAGGAUGAGAGAGGAAGAGGAGGAACAGAAACCUGUACGCAGAAUGUCCCA